CUCCACUUCGGUGGCCCAGAUUUGCGGGUUUGGCUCUGUGGCGUGGACCUUCACUAUUUGUUGGUGGCCAUGCUGUGGUGGUGACCCACAUACAAAAUAGAGGAAGAUUGGCAAUGGAUGUUAGCUCAGGGCCACUCUUCCUCAGCAAAAAUAAAUCAAUAAAUAAAAUUAAAUCAAUAAAUAAUGCAGUGAAGGAGCUCAGCAUCCAGGAGGGACUCGCCCUGCAUUGGCGCUCUUUGGGAAUUCUGGAUGUUUCCCCACAGCUGUUUUCAAAGUGAGGAGAGCCGGUGUGCAGGACUCGGGGACUGUGUGGACUCUUCUGAAGCCCCAGUUUCCCUGAGGUGCUUUGAUGCUCCACAGUCAAAAAGACAAACCAUGCGGGUUUGGUUUUGAUUCUUGUUUUAAGUGGCAAGGAGGAAUCCCAGAGUCACAGCGGGAGGGCUGGUGGCACCACAGAAACACAGCUCCUCCUCUCGGGUGUCGUGCGGCCCGGGUGUCCGCUGUGUCCAGCCACACACAGCCCCUGGGUAAACCCUGCACGCGCUGUGCAUAGCCCGAGGGACGUGCGUGGGGUGCUGCUUCCUCCGUGGCCUCUUCCUUUCUUUGGCCCCGGGUCGUGUGGCCCACCACGCCCCGCUCAUCCCGUGAAGGAAUCUGUGACAUACUUUAAGCGCAUGUCACUCCUUUUCGAGUCCAAUAAAACCCAUUCUGGUGGCACGAGGCUUUUUCCUCCCACUGAGACUGUGGAGAAGUCUCGCGCGGCCAGGACCUCCGCGUGGGCACCUGUCCGGGGCCAAGUCAGGCUGCAGGGGCCCUGCCUCCGAGGGGGCGGGCGUGCCGGCCCCCGGAACAGGCGCUCUCUUCUCGGGGAGGGAGGGAGGCGUCCAAGACCAUUGCUGUUCCAUCGCAAGGUUUCUCAUCAGCGCGAGUCGCUGGUUUGAGGAUCACAAAGCACAGACCAGCACCAGCGGCCCAGGAGGCCCGGCUUCCAUUUAAGCAAAACAAAUGCUCUUUCUUACACCCGGCUUCUCGAGCAACGUUACUCCCAAGUAUUCUCAGUGAAACUUUUAAGCUUGUAGGAAGUUUUAGACAGAUUUCCUUACUUGCAGUCCAGACAUGGCAGGUUUGACUUGGCACGGAUGCUGGCCGGCGAGCUCAGAACGGAGCUGAGCCUCCCGUUCAAAUCAGAUGGACAUUUUCACAAGUCUGGUGACAACUCCGGCAGAGCCAGCUCCCACCCACACCCUUCUACGCACGUUCCUUUCUGAUCCGGCUCAGAGAGAUGGAGCCCGCCAGGCCACCAACAGGAGGCCUGCUGGAGAAGCAACCCAGAGACCUCGUGAGAAAAGCCGGAACCUCCCAAAUUUCAGAGGCUUUAGAGGUACAGGCUGCUCAGAAACCAGCCCCAGAGGUCAGACUUUGCAUCCAAGCUCCCCUCCAGACUCUGGGAUGAGUGGCCAACGUGGUUCAUUCUGACUGGGGACGGGAGCCUGGGGUCCCCUGCUGUCUUCUAGGGCAUCCCUCUCUCUGAGCCCCUCCCUGGCAUCUGGUGACAUCACAGUGACUAGGGAGGACGUUUUUCCUGCCAAAGGACACAUGCAGCCUCAGCCGCUGGGCCAAGGACCACCACCACCUGACGGGGCAGCCGUUCCUCAGGCCCCACAGGCUCCUGGCUGGGAUAGAAGAUUCCAGAAGCUGGCAGGCCUGUUCUCACCCUCGGCCUGGUCACUCAGCCCAGGCUGGCGCUCCUCACACCUGGUGGCCAUCAGGAGUUGUCAGGCCCAGCCCUUGCCCUGGCUUUUCAGGACAGGAGUUCUAGGCCCCACGGAGUGACCCGGCUUCCCAGACGGAGCUCGAUGGAUUCAGGGCUGCAUGUGUCAGAACGCUUUCCUGCCCGAAGCUCACCAGGCAUUUCAGGCCCCUCGGCUGUGUGUCGUUCCAGAGAAACCUCGUGUCAACACCUCAGUCUACUGUCCAGGUCCCCCAGCAGGACUGACGCGGGUGGAGGACAGGAGACUGUCCUGCUUUAUUUUCACGUUCCUGGAGCCUGAAGAAAAGAGUGCCUGAUGUGCAGCGAGCAUUCAGUGAACACAGACAGUUUAUUUUUCUGAUGUUUCCUAGAAGUUUGUAAUAGCUCUUUGGAUCCAUCAAGCUAUUUAAAACAUAUAUGUAAAAAUACAAGUAGAAACCAGCAUUGAAUGUAAUUUGUCUUCGUUUCCUACCAUGUCCCCAACUAAAAUGUUGCUGUGAAAGCCCGUCGUCCCACAGAAACUCGUGCUCAUGCUGUAGCAGUAGGAGCAUACUGUGACAGUGACGUCUGAGGGCCCCACGAGCGCCCAGAGCCCUCCAGGCGCCAACCGCACUGCAGGGAGAGCUCCGCGCUCACAGCGGUGGAGCAGGUCCCCCCGCUGCAGCCUGGCCUUCUGGGGGUCCUCACACUCCCCAUGGCAGCCUCUCCCUGCCGUGGCCAGUCUCUGCAGGUCUCCCCUGCUCAGUGGGGUGGGAGCCCUGAUCGUCCCCCAAGGCAGGUUCGCCUGAAGACAAGGGCCUGGCUCUGGGGCGGGACCCGUGUGGGUGGUGGGCUGGCCAGCACAUACGGUUAU